rnacentral:rRNA from 1 species
UUUAUGGAGAGUUUGAUCCUGGCUCAGGAUGAACGCUGGCGGCGUGCCUAAUACAUGCAAGUCGAGCGAACGGACGAGAAGCUUGCUUCUCUGAUGUUAGCGGCGGACGGGUGAGUAACACGUGGAUAACCUACCUAUAAGACUGGGAUAACUUCGGGAAACCGGAGCUAAUACCGGAUAAUAUUUUGAACCGCAUGGUUCAAAAGUGAAAGACGGUCUUGCUGUCACUUAUAGAUGGAUCCGCGCUGCAUUAGCUAGUUGGUAAGGUAACGGCUUACCAAGGCAACGAUGCAUAGCCGACCUGAGAGGGUGAUCGGCCACACUGGAACUGAGACACGGUCCAGACUCCUACGGGAGGCAGCAGUAGGGAAUCUUCCGCAAUGGGCGAAAGCCUGACGGAGCAACGCCGCGUGAGUGAUGAAGGUCUUCGGAUCGUAAAACUCUGUUAUUAGGGAAGAACAUAUGUGUAAGUAACUGUGCACAUCUUGACGGUACCUAAUCAGAAAGCCACGGCUAACUACGUGCCAGCAGCCGCGGUAAUACGUAGGUGGCAAGCGUUAUCCGGAAUUAUUGGGCGUAAAGCGCGCGUAGGCGGUUUUUUAAGUCUGAUGUGAAAGCCCACGGCUCAACCGUGGAGGGUCAUUGGAAACUGGAAAACUUGAGUGCAGAAGAGGAAAGUGGAAUUCCAUGUGUAGCGGUGAAAUGCGCAGAGAUAUGGAGGAACACCAGUGGCGAAGGCGACUUUCUGGUCUGUAACUGACGCUGAUGUGCGAAAGCGUGGGGAUCAAACAGGAUUAGAUACCCUGGUAGUCCACGCCGUAAACGAUGAGUGCUAAGUGUUAGGGGGUUUCCGCCCCUUAGUGCUGCAGCUAACGCAUUAAGCACUCCGCCUGGGGAGUACGACCGCAAGGUUGAAACUCAAAGGAAUUGACGGGGACCCGCACAAGCGGUGGAGCAUGUGGUUUAAUUCGAAGCAACGCGAAGAACCUUACCAAAUCUUGACAUCCUUUGACAACUCUAGAGAUAGAGCCUUCCCCUUCGGGGGACAAAGUGACAGGUGGUGCAUGGUUGUCGUCAGCUCGUGUCGUGAGAUGUUGGGUUAAGUCCCGCAACGAGCGCAACCCUUAAGCUUAGUUGCCAUCAUUAAGUUGGGCACUCUAAGUUGACUGCCGGUGACAAACCGGAGGAAGGUGGGGAUGACGUCAAAUCAUCAUGCCCCUUAUGAUUUGGGCUACACACGUGCUACAAUGGACAAUACAAAGGGCAGCGAAACCGCGAGGUCAAGCAAAUCCCAUAAAGUUGUUCUCAGUUCGGAUUGUAGUCUGCAACUCGACUACAUGAAGCUGGAAUCGCUAGUAAUCGUAGAUCAGCAUGCUACGGUGAAUACGUUCCCGGGUCUUGUACACACCGCCCGUCACACCACGAGA